GCCUCGUUAACUCAAAGGAUAGAGUAAUCGCCUUCUAAGCGAUAGGUUACUGGUUCGAGUCCAGUACGAGGUGCCA
rnacentral:tRNA from 1 species